rnacentral:rRNA from 1 species
UACGUAGGGUGCAAGCGUUAAUCGGAAUUACUGGGCGUAAAGCGUGCGCAGGCGGUUGUGUAAGACAGAUGUGAAAUCCCCGGGCUCAACCUGGGAACUGCAUUUGUGACUGCACAGCUGGAGUGCGGCAGAGGGGGAUGGAAUUCCGCGUGUAGCAGUGAAAUGCGUAGAUAUGCGGAGGAACACCGAUGGCGAAGGCAAUCCCCUGGGCCUGCACUGACGCUCAUGCACGAAAGCGUGGGGAGCGAAACAAGG